rnacentral:rRNA from 1 species
AGGAAUAUUGGUCAAUGGGCGAGAGCCUGAACCAGCCAAGUAGCGUGCAGGAUGACGGCCCUAUGGGUUGUAAACUGCUUUUAUAAGGGAAUAAAGUGAGCCUCGUGAGGCUUUUUGCAUGUACCUUAUGAAUAAGGACCGGCUAAUUCCGUGCCAGCAGCCGCGGUAAUACGGAAGGUCCGGGCGUUAUCCGGAUUUAUUGGGUUUAAAGGGAGCGUAGGCCGGAGAUUAAGCGUGUUGUGAAAUGUAGGCGCUCAACGUCUGCACUGCAGCGCGAACUGGUUUCCUUGAGUACGCACAAAGUGGGCGGAAUUCGUGGUGUAGCGGUGAAAUGCUUAGAUAUCACGAAGAACUCCGAUUGCGAAGGCAGCUCACUGGAGCGCAACUGACGCUGAAGCUCGAAAGUGCGGGUAUCGAACAGGAUUAGAUACCCUGGUAGUCCGCACGGUAAACGAUGGAUGCCCGCUGUUGGUCUGAACAGGUCAGCGGCCAAGCGAAAGCAUUAAGCAUCCCACCUGGGGAGUACGCCGGCAACGGUGAAACUCAAAGGAAUUGACGGGGGCCCGCACAAGCGGAGGAACAUGUGGUUUAAUUCGAUGAUACGCGAGGAACCUUACCCGGGCUUGAAUUGCAGAGGAAGGAUUUGGAGACAAUGACGCCCUUCGGGGUCUCUGUGAAGGUGCUGCAUGGUUGUCGUCAGCUCGUGCCGUGAGGUGUCGGCUUAAGUGCCAUAACGAGCGCAACCCCUCUCCUUAGUUGCCAUCAGGUCAAGCUGGGCACUCUGGGGACACUGCCACCGUAAGGUGUGAGGAAGGUGGGGAUGACGUCAAAUCAGCACGGCCCUUACGUCCGGGGCUACACACGUGUUACAAUGGCAGGUACAGAGAGAUGGUGUUCUGCAAAGCGCAUCAAAUCCUUAAAGCCUGUCUCAGUUCGGACUGGGGUCUGCAACCCGACCCCACGAAGCUGGAUUCGCUAGUAAUCGCGCAUCAGCCAUGGCGCGGUGAAUACGUUCCCG